rnacentral:RNase_P_RNA from 1 species
UGAGCCGGCCAGGCGGCCGCGUCCCCCGAUCGCCUCGGCGUGCGGGGGCCGAGGAACGUCCGGGCUCCACAGGGCAGGGUGGUGGGUAACGCCCACCCGGGGUGACCCGCGGGACAGUGCCACAGAGAACAGACCGCCCGUCGCGCCCCUCGGGGCACGACGAGUAAGGGUGAAACGGUGAGGUAAGAGCUCACCAGCGCACCGGGUGACCGGUGCGGCUCGGUAAACCCCACCCGGAGCAAGGCCAGACAGGGAGCGAGCUGCCCGCUCGAUGCUCCCGGGUAGGCCGCUGGAGGCGUGCGGCGACGUACGCCCGAGAUGGAUGGUCGCCACCCGCCGUCGGGCGACCGACGGCGGGGACAGAACCCGGCGUACCGGCCGGCUCAUCCC